GGCUGCCUGGCCACUGCGAGCCGAAACAUUUCCCUAAAGACUCACCACCUAGGAAGAGUGCACUGGCUCUAGUCACCACAGAAAGAGACACCAGCAGUACUAAAUGCUAGAGGAGGGAAAUGGCUGUAGGUCUGAGUAAGGCAGCAACAUCAAAUGGCUGAUUUAAAAAACACAGGGAACGUGUUUCAAAAGCAGGUGGAAAUGAAUAAGCUGUAAGAGUAUGAGGCACGUCAAUGCAGUGGUGUAUUAGCUAAUUUGCUACAAAAGUGGAACAUGUUGACUUUGUUUCCUGCUAAAAAAUGUCAAAUGUCUAUUUUUAUGAUUUUUUUUUUGAAAUUUUUAUAAAUGGUAGAGUUGAAACACAUGGCAAGACCUCUCUCUUCCAAUAAAACAGAUUAAAAGCUUGAAUAAAUAUGUUGAAGCAGAUUGAUGGAUGCACUGGCGUUUUGCUUCUGCUGUACCUUUAGCAGGUUUAGCAAAGAUUAUUCUGUCAUUUCUUGACUACUAUAUAUGACAGAGCUAGCAAGGUGAUACCAUUUCACCCACUGAUCAGUAUUUGCUCAGUAAAUAUAAGUGGCCAAAGGCAAAUUCCUUUCAAGCCCCAGAGAUAGUGAAGAAUUGCAGUAUUUAAUGCCUAAUCCAAAGCCUCAAGGGAAAGAUCUUCAUUAUUUCAGUGAAUUUGUAUCUACACUUUGCAAGGGCAGAACUUACAAUGGUGAUUUAUUCAGAUAAAUAUUUACUUAACAUACAUGCUGUCUGAAAAUCUCUUCAGGCUUUUUAGCCUUUAGAUUUAGGUACACAGCAUGGCUGAGGGCUGGUAUGAGAAAACUCCAGACAAGGGGCUGGGUCAGGCAGCUUGGUUUGUAGUGGACAUUUGUGUAGAGCACCAGACGGAUGGCUUAGGGGCCUAACAUCGGCCAUUCACAUCGCCGCACCGCUCUGCCAGCAUGUUUCAAUUCUAUCUGGGAGGGAUCUGCUUUCAGAUCCCCUCUGCUGGGAUUGCCAGUGAAGCUGCCAAACUUGACACAGUUUUAUCGGCUGGCAUCAGGGAAGAAGAGAACAACCAUGAAGAACAUGGAGCAACACAGUCACAGUGCAUACAAAACACACCAGGAGACCACCCUACGUCUGGAUAAAAGAAUGACACUGCAGAUUUAAUGGGAUCUUGGAAGAGAAACUGGUUAGCUGGACUCUUCAGUAUGAGAGAGGUACAUUCAGAAGCUAGAGUGAAGUCUAACAGAAUAUAAGAAUAUUUUUCCUGUCUACUCAGUUUUGUUGAUGGGAUUAGCUCGACCUUUGGUAGGUUGCUUUCCCAAGCAUGUUAAAGAAGGGAAUCACAGCGUUUCCAGCUACACGACUUCUUCACCUAGAUUUUAGGUCCUGCUGCUUUUGUUUGAGAGUGAUGUGGUAGCUACAAGCAUGGAUGGUGAACAUCCUGAUCAUGUCAGCAUGUUGGAAGUGGCUAGCAAGCAAUAACCAGUUUUGCCUUACCAGUGAUGUGUAUAGAGAUUUCUGUGCAGCAGGAAGAUUGGGUGACUGACACACAGAUCCUCCCUCAGACUGCAGGGGAGAUGGUGAGUUCUGGGGUCUUCUGACAUCCAGAGUCUUGUACUGCUCACUUCUUUUUUUGUUCAAUUCUGUAGAUUUUUAGUCCCAUGAAAAUACUCUUACAUGUUGACUUUGGUGGUAAUAAAAGUCCAUGAAACGAAAGAAAUGUUCUGUUCUCUUACAAGUUGUUUUGUACUCCUUUUUUUUUUGGAGUUGCUGCCAAUUAACAAAAAAAUAAUUGAGAAAUAUCUCCCCAGAUGGAUUGUUUUCCCUUCCAUGUUAUGUUAAAUUCGUACUUUUCCUAUAAUGAAACAUCUUCAGUUCCUUCUUUUUCCAAUGAUGUUCUAUGUUUGUUUUAGAUUUAGUUAUUAUCAAGAAUCCCCUGAAAAUUACAUCCUGUGAUUUGUUACCAGUUAAUCAAGACUUAGUGCUUUCCUGUCCCUUUCUCAAAAUAUUAGCUCAUCAAAUUCGGACAAAAUCAGUUUGGAUGUGGUCGUGCCAUCAGCAACUCAUUAGUCUGUCUUCUGUCCCCUGCACCAGAGCUUCCCAGGAAAUCUAGCAGUCCUGAGGAUGGUUGCUUGCUUCCUCCAUGCCAAAAGAAGAACAAACUUGCAGGAUCCCACCUGCACCGGUUGAUCAGAAUGAGAGAGUAGGAACUUACUAUCCAUCUAAAGUGUUGGAUAAAUGUCAAAGAGUUCAGAGAUUUAAAGGAUAUAAACUUUUAAACAUUUAUGUGCUGAAAAAAACCCCAAUAUCUGAGAGCUGGAAAACAGCACUAAAAAUGUGAGAAAACAUAGGAAUCUACUACUUUCUUAUUGUAGAUCAACCAGCUCUAGAAUAACCAUGUAUAUAACAGAUACCUCAGGACAGACAGGAGUUUUUAAAUCAUUUGUACACUCUCAGCACAGGUGAGGAAGACAUGCAGCUGGUUUUGGAGGCAACUGUGGGCUAGCAAGUGACUAAUGCACUGAAUCAUCUUCACUCAGAAUCAUUACGAAUCAGUUGAGCCAGAGUUAACAGUUCUGGUAGUCCCUGUACAACCAAGUCCACCCAUCUUGUUGCUUUCUAUGGUCAUUAGUCUACAUGAAGAAGUGGUUCAGCUCAGAGGAUUGUCAAGACUUUUUCCCCAAGGUGCACGUCUUCCCAGGUCUUUUUGUGGACUGGAAAUUAUAGCUCCUCCCUGUUUUCCAGUCUUUCUAAUUAUGCUGAUGGAGACUACAGAGCAAGGCUAUCAUUUGCUUAAAUGCCUUCAGUUUGGAAGAAAAGAUUCCAGAGUUACAUUCUUCUGUAUGUAGGAUAAUGGGUUUUUUCUCUUCUUUUUUUGUAAAGAAGAAGCAUGAAAAAAAAUUUAUAGCCAAUGUAACCAGAACACAGAGUACCACGCUCUGCAUUAUCGUCAUGGUUUCAAAAAGCAGGAAAAAUAACAACCUAAGGUAGUAAAGAUAAAGAUGGCCUUGUUGCAUAAUUUCGUUUCUUGAUGCUGAGUCAGUUGCUGUCCUCUUGUACAGGGAAGGACUGGAUACGUCUUUUCUUUUUUUUUUAAUUAAUUUUAUUCUUGAAGCAGAAUGUCAUCCACAGACCACAGUGCUAGAUGCUUUGAAAACUAUAGAAUGUGUUCAACAUUUACAGUACUCUUCCUGUACACAAAUAAGCUAAAUCAAGGUAUCAUUUUAUGUCUUUAACAGUGGAAAAUAGUGUGAUAAUUUAAGCAAGAUUCUUCCAGAACUUAAUUUUACUAAUCCGUGUCUUUGUUGCAGGCUGGAGACGUUCCAUGAGGCAUACCACUUAUUACUUGUAGAAAUAAGAAUCACGUAGCAGAGGGCUGGAAAACCCUUUAUAAAUUCUAAGGAAAGAGUUGCUUGAGGUUGAAGGCAUUUAAAUGAGGCUGGCUUUACAGUCUAACUAACUGGGACGUCUUCACUCAGAAGAAUUAUUACAAAUAAGUUGAGACAGAGGCUUGAAAGUUUUACAGAUGUGGUAGUGCCUGAGUGACCAAGUCCAAUUAUCUUGUUGUUUUCUGUGGUCAUUACAUUAGCCUACACAAAUAAUUUGUUCAGCUCAGAGGAUUCUUGAGUGUUUUUAAUGUCAUACCAUGAAAGGAAGGCUGUAUUCAAUUACCUGAUACAGAAUCUAGAUGGAUUGCUUUCACUCCUAGUCUCUACUAACUAGACGUGCUUGAAAUGUAUCUUGUCAAAAACACCACAUAAACUGAAAUGUGGGUGUAAAUGUUACAGAUUUCUUUUAUCUUUGAGAUUUUUGUGUGUGGUUCUGUUUGAGGGGAUUUAAUAAAGUCACUCAGGAUGAAGUCUACUUCUCUAUCUUCUGAAAUACUUCUUUAUGGAGUUGUUCCUUUAAUUGUCACUAGAUAUGAGUGGGGGGAGCUCACAUUGGUUUAGAUGAUAACUGAAUAACAGACAAUCAUUAUUUUGGGGGCUUAUCUCACGCUUUAAAGGGGACAUGGCCAGGGAUUUUGAUCAUUCAGUUAUAAACACCUGUUUCAUGUUUACACACAUUCUCCUUUUAGGAAAGGAGGAAUCAUCCUUUCUCUCCCUAUUCCCUCUCUGAACAGAGACAAUGACCUCCUUUUCUUUACUGGGCAUCGGUAAGAUAUACUCCCUGAAAAUGCUUCCAUAAGGGCUAAAAGAUUAAAAUAUCAUUUAGAUAUGAAUUAUAUUAGGUCACUGAGAAACAAAAGCUUCUGACAAGGAUUUACUUUUCAUUAAAAAGAUCUUAAUGAGCUAUUGUAGAAGAGUCUUGAUUCCAGACAGUGUAUUUUAUGUAAUAUCCUCCUUUGUGGGAACUAACUGACGACCUUUCUGACCUCAAAGCUACCCUCAGGGCUGGGGCCUUUGGUCAGGCUUGAUUUUCUCUGCAAAUUUCCAAAUGCUUUCUAUAAUCAGCAUUAGCUCAUGAGGUCUUUAGAGCAUAGAUUAUUCUUUUUGUUGCUGUAAUUGAUUAUUCUGAAACUUCAGAAAAUUUUGCUAGUGCUUUUCUCCUAUAGUCUGUCUGGUAGCACUUCAGUUCUUGGUCAUUAAGAAAAAUAGACAGUGGAUCUGCUACUGCUGUUACCUGGUGCACUUGCCUGAAGUCCUAAGGUUGAGAGAGGAGUAUUCUCACAUUACACUAGCCAUCUUUUGUUUUCAUGUACUCUGAAAAUUCAGAAACCUACUCCAAUCCAAUGCACAUGCAUUUGGAUCAGCAUUAAUCAAAAGGAUUACUAAGAUGUCCACUUUCCAGUUGCUUUCAGGAAGAAGCUAGCUCGUGUGUACCUGAGGGCCAGAUAUGACCUGAACCUUAGUCCCAAGAGGACAGUGACAAGCUGAAAGAAAUUAAUUUGCCAACAACAGAGUGAAGAGAGAAACAGCCUAUGAGCUGCUAUGCAAGUCAGAGGCUUUCCACCUUAACCUCUACUAAUGUUGGGGCAGGUUCUGAGGUCCUUUCUAUUACCACCAGCCUGGUAUUUUAUAGCAUUGGCCCACAACGCAAAUGGGAGAACUGCAGUUCUUAUCACCACUAAAAUAAAAUGCAGAAACCCACCACAGACGAACUGAAGUACUUGCUAAGCUCUAACACCUGCAUUUCAGGUAACCUCUUUGUCUGAAAGUUGUUUGUUUAGACUGCAUUACAGAAUAUUUGUCUUCAGACCAGUCUGUAAAAUGCCUUCACAGACUGUCAGUACCAUGUCACAAAAUAGUAAAAAUAAAAUGCAUUUAUGUGGGCCCAAACUACCAUUCUGCCUGCUUGAAUUUUUUUCUUUUUAAUCUAUUAACUUCCUAACUGAUAAUAAAAGUUCAUCUAUCAUUGUUGAGCAAACCAGAUCCUAACAUGAACUAGGGUGGUCCAAAUGUAUUUGUUAUUUAGUUUCCGACACCUGUUACAGUCUUUACAGGAAAUGUAAUACAGUCUUAUUAAACCUUAUUCUCUACUUUCAACAACCAUCUUUUCUGGCUACAACAGAAACAGGAAGAUAAGACUUAUGGAGUAUUUAAAUCGGUGUUUUACUGACCAUGAAAGACACUAUCUGCAAAAUGAUCAGUAAUUAGCUUACGUAUCUUACUCUAGGCAAGAGAAGCUAGCUGGACAUGAUAAAUGUGAACUAUAUAACUGUUUAAGCUUUGAAUUGGAUCUACUGAGAUACGUCUGGUACUCUUGGUCAGAAUACUUCUUCUGGCUUAGGAUUCAGGACCCUUGUGGUAUACACUUAGCAUCACCCAAAGUAAGGUCACCACUGUAGAGUUAUGCAGGUGUGUUCACUGAUAUAAAGCCUUCUGCUAACUUUCAAUUUUAUUAUAAAUAUUCUUAAAAUGCACCAGAAAUUGUAUGAAUAGCAAUGCUACUUCGUUUAGUUUGAGGUUGAGAAGUAGGAGAGCAAAGGUUCCCACUUAGCUCAAAUCAGAGGGAGAGAGAAGUUCAUCUCUCUACAGACAUUUCUGAGACAAUAUUCUGACUUUCACUGUUCCUGCUACAGUCUUUCCACAUCCUCCCCAGUGGGGAAUCUGGAUGCAGCAUGGCUGACAUCAGUGUGAGAGAAAUGAUCUUUACCACUGCUGCUCCCCUGACUCCUCUGGCUGUUCCCAUGACUGUUGCAGUGAGGAAAGUACCCCAGGGAUUUCUUAAUUCUCAAGUCAGGUCCCUGAGUACUGGGGUAACUCUUGUCUUUUCUUCAUACUUUCAAAGAAAUAAGCUUACAAGGAAACCUUAAAAUUCAUAGAACACCCUGUGUGGAGAGUACUGUUUCAGUAACUUUCAGUGCUUUCUGUGUAGGUGAAUCACCAUGUCAUGUAUUGCCUGUGGCAAUUCUAAAAAAUUUACUUGGAAAUGUUUGGAGAAGGUGAUGACAGCUCUUCUGCAUGUUCUGUAGCCACCACAU